GUUCGCCAGCAGGAUGGCUUCUUUACGCAGGGCGUGGCGCAUUUGCGUCCGCUCAACCUGAAAGCUGUCGCCGACGCCAUCCAGAUGCACGAAUCGACCGUCUCGCGGGUGACCGCGAACAAGUACAUGGCNNGACCAACCGCGGCACGUUUGAACUGAAGUAUUUCUUCACCGCGUCGAUUGCAUCGGCCGACGGCGGGGAUGCGCAUUCCGCCGAAGCUGUGCGGCACCGCAUCAAACAGCUCAUUGAUGCGGAAAG
rnacentral:misc_RNA from 1 species